GACAGAGGUGCCAAGCGUUAGGCGGAAUCGCUGGGCUUAAAGCGUGUGUAGGCGGGUGCCUAAGUACCUUGUGAAAUCCCACGGCUCAACCGUGGAACUGCUGGGUAUACUGGGUGCCUUGGGUCAUCUAGGGGCUGCCGGAACAAAUGGUGGAGCGGUGAAAUGCGUAGAUAUCAUUUGGAACGCCAACGGCGAAAGCAGGCAGCUGGGGAUGCACCGACGCUGAGACACGAAAGCCAGGGGAGCGAACGGG
rnacentral:rRNA from 1 species